CUGGCAGUGGGAAGCCAUUCCCCUCUCAGCCUGUCACUCCAGGCCCUUGUCUAAAGUCCCUCUUCCAGCUCUCUUCUAAAAUGUUUCACUUUCGACAAAACGAUCUUUCCUGAAAGGAACAAAUAUCUCAUUCAAAGACAUCUCCCAAGCUCUGGUUGUAAGGAAGUUAAGAACAUCACUUUCCCUUUUUUUAUUAAUAUUGUUUGUUGGUGAAAUGGCUUAAUGGCUGCAGGGUCAGUUGACAGAUAGGAGGUAACAUUGUUCUUCCCCUCCGGCGAAUGUAGUGUUUGGCAUGACUUCAAAAUAACCCUAUUGUUUGUCAUCUUCUCAAAAUACACUAUAAAACCCCUGUUAAAAGGGAAGAUAACGUUUUCUAAGCAUAAGUCAAGUGCCGGGUUGCCUUUUUUUAAAGCUGCUUGAUGAGAAUUAAUGGUGUUGGAUCUCCUGUUUUAAACACAUUUGGCCAGGUUUUCUGGAGGCACCUAAUUUAUCUUGAGGCUCUUUCAUCUAUUAUCUAACUGUGAGCUUGUUCGUAGCUCAUCAGCCAUCCUGGUUUUGACAGGGGGCCUUGUGAUGAGCAGCCAACAGCGCAGAGUGUCGGGGCCGGGCGUAUCUCUGGCAGGAAGGUGAUGGGAAAAGCCUAACCUUCUGCCACUCCUCCCAGCACUCACCAAACCCAAAAAUAGAGUCUUGGAUCGCCACACAAAGCCCCUCAGAGUGGUUCCUGCAUCCCAGUGUUGAAGCAGAUCCUGCUGGAUCAGGUCCAUUUAAUGGGGAAGUGGUACUGUCAACCCCUUGGGAGAGCUUGAGGUGGUGUUUGGAGAAAUGCCCCUUGUUGAGGGGACAGUCUGUGACAGAGAAUUGCUUUGGCCAAGGUAUAGUGUCCAUGGAGCCAUCAGGAAAGAGGAGAAAGCAGCAGAAAUUUUGGAAAAAAGAAACCCUAAAACCUUAUCUAAAAAUGGUGGGAAAUAAAGAGCUUAUGUAAAAGAGCAAUUUUUCCACAGUUCCCAAGCAGGAAUUAUCUGCUACAUGAUUCAGGACCAUCGCAGAUGUGUAGAUUUUGGGCGUGAACUCCCAAGCCCAUUCUGGAACCAGCCAGAGGAGAUUUGCAAAAAGGAGGAACGUCGCCUUUCCUUUUUUUUGUGCUUUCAGCAUCGAUGUACGCGAGCGCUCGGAGCGGCAGCUACGGAGCUGCUGGAGUUUGUCACCAUAACACUGCCUGUUUAUGCUUUGUGGGGAUGAAAGAACAGCUUUCUUCAAUUAGGCUUUGUACUUCAGCUGGCAGGCGGGUGCCGAUUGUCUCAAACUCCACCUCUCGGCCCGGCCUGGCCCGCGGAGCCGGCGCAGGCCGCGCCCGGCCCCGCUGCCGAUCAGAUCUGCUGGCCACGGGCAAAGUGGGAGAAAUCCCACUGGGAACAGCAGCCACGUGCACUCAGGCGGGCUCACUACUCGGACCUGCUGGAAUUUUCACACUGUAGGAUCACAGAAUGGGUUGGAAGGGAGCUUUAAAGGCCUUCUCAUCCACAAAGAGCAGGGACUUCUUCCACUAGGCCAAGUUCCUCAGAGCCCCAUCCAGCCUGAUACUGAAUGUUUUGUUUCCAGUGAUGGGGCAUCCACUGCCCCUCUUUGCCAGGGCCUCACCACCCUCAUUGCAUAAAUUUUCUUCUUCAUACCUAUCUGAUUCUCCCCUCUUUCAGUUUAAAACCAUUCCCCCUCACUCUACCCUUUCUGGAUGCUUUUCCUCUUCACUCCCUGCUCCAUGCACCUGCAAGUAGCUGGCAUAGCACGGAGAAUCCUGCUGGUUCCUAAAGAAGAGUUCAACCUCAUUUCAAAGCAUUUUAAAGUGGUGGUGCAGGGACAGCAGACUCUUUCCGUUGACUCGGGCAAGUUUUGAGUAGGUUGCCUGGAUACCUGGCUAUGGAACACAGCAUGUGUGAGCAGCCAAUGGAUAUCUCGUUAAUAAGAAACAGGGCAUGGGGAGGGAGCUGCCUCAGUGCCAGUGUGGAUUUAUAAGGCACUGACUGCUCUGUGUCAGGCAGAUUUGCAGAUUGGGGGAAUUUGGAGGGGGUUUAUGGCUCGCCGGAAGCUGAUAGCAAAGCCGUGGCAAAAAGUCAAAAUGCACCACCCAUGGCAGCCCUUCGUGGGGAAAACUGACUUACAAAAUAGGAUCUAGAGAGUGCUGUGAUGUUGCCUCAGAGCUCCUGAAGGAUGAAAUGCACUUCCUGAGUUAAGACAUGAGAGAGAAUGAAGUAUGUGGAGACCCUGAGAUGAAUGAAUGAUGAUUUAUAACACUUAAAAUCAAAUAUACAUCUUGACACUCAAGCAAGUUCACAUAAGAUGCCAACAGCUCUCUGCUAUUUGUCAUCUCUGUUAUUUGUCAUCUGUCCUUUCCUGCUUGAAUCUUUUACCACAAUCUCCCUACAAAAGGACGGAUCACAGAGAAUGUCCACCUGUCCUACCCCCUGCCAGGGGCCAGCCCUGCAGUGUGACCCUGGGCUGUCACACAGCUGAAAUUCCUCUGCUGAAGCCAAAACUGAUCGUGGUGGCUUUUUGCAUGUGCCGAACAGAGAUUCACCGACGGAGAAAGAUGAAUAUGGAUUUUUGCACGUGUCCUAUGCUGACCCUCUUUGCAGGAUUCUGCUGGGGUCUGGGGUGGCUGAGUAGUGAGCAGUGUUGGGGCAUGAGGAGGCAGCAAAAUCGUGACCCAGGAGAGGAGCUCUACUUCUUCAUGGUGCUUGGAGCUUAACUGUAAAUCCUCUCCCUGAGAAUAAACACAAGCACCAGUGAUGUGAGACCCUGCUCAGCCUCGGGAAAAAGAAUUGCUCUUCAUGCUCUGAACUCAGACUCUGAUUAUUCAUUUAUUUCCUUUCGGGCUCAAAAUAUUUCUCAACAGUAAUCGAGGGAGAAACAAUGGCCCAUUCACGGGGGCACUGAGCUCUCCCUUGUCCCAGGUCCAAGCGGGCAUUGCUACUGAGAACUGCACUGACCCGGCGCUUGGCAGACCCAGGUGCAACAUCCUUCUCCCCUGGGGAUUUCCAGCCUAACCCUGAGCCAGGUGGGUUGUGAGAUUAAACACAUGAAAGACUCGGAGGCACCAAAUGCCGCGGUGAUGAGACCCAUCUGACAGAGAGAUCAGCUAAACCCAGGGCAGCCGAGCUGGAAAAUGCCUUAGAUUUUUCUCCCCGACAGCAGGAUGGCCUUGUGGAUAAUUGAUUUCCCCCUCGGAAGGCUUGAAGUAUAUUUUUAGGGAACGCAAACAUUUUUAUUUUCACUGCCUAUUUUUCUUUCCUCCUCAAUAAAUGGCUUUUCCUACA